rnacentral:rRNA from 1 species
UACCGCUUCGGUGCGCUCAGUGGCGGAAGGGUUAGUAAUACAUGGAUAACCUGCCCUUUACUCGGGGAUAACAGUUGGAAACGACUGCUAAUACCCGAUGAGGGGCUUUAAGGGAUCUUACCUUCAUCAAAGUGGGGGACGCUUCGGACCUCGCGGUUUUUGAGGGGCUCAUGCGAUAUCAGCUUGUUGGUGUGGUAAAAGCGCACCAAGGCUAAGACGUCUAGGCGGAUUGAGAGAUUGACCGCCAACACUGGGACUGAGACACUGCCCAGACUCCUACGGGAGGCUGCAGUCGAGAAUCUUUCGCAAUGGGCGAGAGCCUGACGAAGCGACGCCGUGUGAACGAAGAAGGCCUUAGGGUCGUAAAGUUCUUUCGCCUGGGAACAAAGAAUGCGGAUUAAUACUGCGCAGACUUGAGGGUACCAGGUAAAGAAGCACCGGCUAACUCCGUGCCAGCAGCUGCGGUAAUACGGAGGGUGCAAGCGUUAAUCGGAAUUAUUGGGCGUAAAGAGUGCGUAGGCGGGGAUAUAAGUCAGGCGUGAAAUCCCAGAGCUUAACUUCGGAACUGCACUUGAAACUGCGAGGCUAGAGUGUCGGAGAGGUAAGUGGAAUUCCACAUGUAGCGGUGAAAUGCGUAGAUAUGUGGAGGAACACCCGUGGCGAAGGCGGUUUUCUAGCUUAUUCCUGACGCUGAGGCGCGAAAGCAAGGGGAGCAAACAGGAUUAGAUACCCUGGUAGUCCUUGCCGUAAACGAUGCAUACUUGGUGUAGUCGGACUCAACCCCGACUGUGCCGGAGCUAACGUGUUAAGUAUGCCGCCUGGGGAGUACGCUCGCAAGGGUGAAACUCAAAAGAAUUGACGGGGACCCGCACAAGCAGUGGAGCAUGUGGUUUAAUUCGAUGCAACGCGAAGAACCUUACCCAGGCUUGACAUGUAGUGGACGGAAUCAGAGAUGAUUCUUCUCGUAUGGGCCGCUACACAGGUGCUGCAUGGCUGUCGUCAGCUCGUGCCGUGAGGUGUUGGGUUAAGUCCCGCAACGAGCGCAACCCUUAUCGCUAGUUGCCAGCACGUAAUGGUGGGAACUCUAACGAGACUGCCUAGGUUAACUAGGAGGAAGGUGAGGAUGACGUCAAGUCCGCAUGGCCCUUAUGUCUGGGGCUACACACGUGCUACAAUGGCCGGUACAAAAGGCAGCGAAGCCGUAAGGUGGAGCAAAUCUCCAAAAGCCGGUCUCAGUUCGGAUUGUCGUCUGCAACUCGACUUCAUGAAGCCGGAAUUGCUAGUAAUGGCGUGUCAGCAAUAACGCCGUGAAUACGUUCCCGGGUCUUGUACACACCGCCCGUCACAUCAUGGAAGUUGGUUUUACCCGAAGUCGUUGACUCAACCGC